GUUGCGGUGGCCGAGUGGUUAAGGCGUUGGACUCGAAAGCCAAUUGGAUCUUCCCGCGCAGGUUCGAGUCCUUCCGGCAACG
rfam:Nematostella vectensis strain CH2 x CH6 NEMVEscaffold_486_Cont28486, whole genome shotgun sequence.